rnacentral:tRNA from 1 species
AACUAAGAAAAAACUUAGACUUAAAAUCUAAAAAACACCUAAAAUAUAAAGGUGCUUAGUUA